GAUGAACGCUGGCGGCGUGCCUAAUACAUGCAAGUCGAGCGAACAGACGAGGAGCUUGCUCCUCUGACGUUAGCGGCGGACGGGUGAGUAACACGUGGAUAACCUACCUAUAAGACUGGUAUAACUUCGGGAAACCGGAUCUAAUACCGGAUAAUAUAUUGAACCGCAUGGUUCAAUAGUGAAAGACGGUUUUGCUGUCACUUAUAGAUGGAUCCGCGCCGCAUUAGCUAGUUGGUAAGGUAACGGCUUACCAAGGCGACGAUGCGUAGCCGACCUGAGAGAGUGGUCGGCCACACUGGAACUGAGCCACGGUCCAGACUCCUACGGGAGGGAGCAGUAGGGAAUCUUCCGCAGUGGGCGAAAGCCUGACGGAGCAACGCCGCGUGAGAGAUGAAGGUCUUCGGAUCGUAAAACUCUGUUAUUAGGGAAGAACAAAUGUGUAAGUAACUAUGCACGUCUUGACGGUAACUAAUCAGAAAGCAACGGCUAACUACGUG
rnacentral:rRNA from 1 species